rnacentral:rRNA from 1 species
CCUACGGGAGGCAGCAGUGGGGAAUAUUGGGCAAUGGGCGAAACCCUGACGCAGCAAUGCCGCGUGAGGGAAGAAGGCUUUCGGGUUGUAAACCUCUUUGACAGGGGAAGAACAGAAGCGGGUACCCUGAAAGCAAGCCACGGCUGACUAGGUGCCAGCAGCGGCGGUAAUAGGUAGGGGGCAAGCGUUGUCCGGAUUUACUGGGUGUAAAGGGCGUGUAGCCGGGAAGGCAAGUCAGAGGUGAAACCCGGAGGCUCAACCUCCGAAUUGCAUUUGAAACUGUUUUGCUUGAGUACUGGAGAGGCAGACGGAAUUCCUUGUGUAGCGGUGAAAUGCGUAGAUAUAAGGAGGAACACCAGUGGCGAAGGCGGUCUGCUGGACAGCAACUGACGGUGAGGCUCGAAAGUGUGGGGAGCAAACAGGAUUAGAUACCCGGGUAGUC